GAUGAACGCUGGCGGCGUGCUUAACACAUGCAAGUCGAACGAAGACAUCUGAGUGCUUGCACUUGGAUGGACUGAGUGGCGGACGGGUGAGUAACGCGUGGGUAACCUGCCUUAUACAGGGGGGAUAACAGUUGGAAACGACUGCUAAUACCGCAUAAGCGCACGGUAUCGCAUGAUACAGUGUGAAAAACUCCGGUGGUAUAAGAUGGACCCGCGUCUGAUUAGCUUGUUGGUGAGGUAACGGCCCACCAAGGCGACGAUCAGUAGCCGGCCUGAGAGGGUGAACGGCCACAUUGGGACUGAGACACGGCCCAAACUCCUACGGGAGGCAGCAGUGGGGAAUAUUGCACAAUGGGGGAAACCCUGAUGCAGCGACGCCGCGUGAGCGAAGAAGUAUUUCGGUAUGUAAAGCUCUAUCAGCAGGGAAGAAGAAUGACGGUACCUGACUAAGAAGCACCGGCUAAAUACGUG
rnacentral:rRNA from 1 species